AGAGUUUGAUCCUGGCUCAGGAUGAACGCUAGCUACAGGCUUAACACAUGCAAGUCGAGGGGCAGCAUGACGAUAGCUUGCUAUUGUUGAUGGCGACCGGCGCACGGGUGAGUAACGCGUAUCCAACCUUCCCGUUGCUAGGGGAUAACCUUGCGAAAGUAAGACUAAUACCCUAUGAUGUUCUUCGCAGGCAUCUAAAGAGAACGAAAGAUUUAUCGGCAACGGAUGGGGAUGCGUCUGAUUAGGUUGUUGGCGGGGUAACGGCCCACCAAGCCUACGAUCAGUAGGGGUUCUGAGAGGAAGGUCCCCCACAUUGGAACUGAGACACGGUCCAAACUCCUACGGGAGGCAGCAGUGAGGAAUAUUGGUCAAUGGACGGAAGUCUGAACCAGCCAAGUAGCGUGCAGGAUGACGGCCCUAUGGGUUGUAAACUGCUUUUAUGUGGGAAUAAAGUGAGGGACGUGUCCCUUUUUGUAGGUACCACAUGAAUAAGGACCGGCUAAUUCCGUGCCAGCAGCCGCGGUAAUACGGAAGGUCCGGGCGUUAUCCGGAUUUAUUGGGUUUAAAGGGAGCGUAGGCCGUCUUUUAAGCGUGUUGUGAAAUACUGUCGCUCAACGACAGAGGUGCAGCGCGAACUGGGAGACUUGAGUGCGCGGAAUGCAGGCGGAAUUCGUCGUGUAGCGGUGAAAUGCUUAGAUAUGACGAAGAACUCCGAUUGCGAAGGCAGCUUGCAGUAGCGUAACUGACGCUGAAGCUCGAAAGUGCGGGUAUCGAACAGGAUUAGAUACCCUGGUAGUCCGCACGGUAAACGAUGGAUGCUCGCUGUGUGCCCCUGGGUACGCGGCCAAGCGAAAGCGUUAAGCAUCCCACCUGGGGAGUACGCCGGCAACGGUGAAACUCAAAGGAAUUGACGGGGGCCCGCACAAGCGGAGGAACAUGUGGUUUAAUUCGAUGAUACGCGAAGAACCUUACCAAGUCUUGACAUCCGUUGACCGCUGUAGAAAUACAGUUUUCCUUCGGGACAGCGAGACAGGUGGUGCAUGGUUGUCGUCAGCUCGUGUCGUGAGAUGUUGGGUUAAGUCCCGCAACGAGCGCAACCCUUAUGGUCAGUUACUACGCAAGAGGACUCUGGCCAGACUGCCGUUGACAAAACGGAGGAAGGUGGGGAUGACGUCAAAUCAUCAUGCCCUUUAUGACUUGGGCUACACACGUACUACAAUGGCGUUAAACAAAGAGAAGCAAGACCGCGAGGUGGAGCAAAACCCAGAAACAACGUCCCAGUUCGGACUGCAGGCUGCAACUCGCCUGCACGAAGUCGGAAUUGCUAGUAAUCGUGGAUCAGCAUGCCACGGUGAAUACGUUCCCGGGCCUUGUACACACCGCCCGUCACACCAUGAGAGCCGGGGGGACCCGAAGUCGGUAGUCUAACCGCAAGGAGGACGCCGCCGAAGGU
rnacentral:rRNA from 1 species